rnacentral:tRNA from 1 species
GUGGAUGUAGCCAAGUGGAUCAAGGCAGUGGAUUGUGAAUCCACCAUGCGCGGGUUCAAUUCCCGCCGUUCUCC